UAAGGAAUAUUGCGCAAUGGACGAAAGUCUGACGCAGCAACGCCGCGUGCAGGAUGAAGGCCCUCUGGGUCGUAAACUGCUGUAGCAGGGGAAUAAUGGCCACUUCGAGUGGUUUGAAGGUACCCUGAAAGUAAGCUCCGGCUAACUACGUGCCAGCAGCCGCGGUAAUACGUAGGGAGCAAGCGUUGUCCGGAUUCACUGGGUGUAAAGGGUGCGCAGGCGGACCUGUAAGUCAGGGGUGAAAUCUCACAGCUCAACUGUGAAACUGCCUUUGAUACUGUGGGUCUUGAGUUCGGGAGAGGUUGAUGGAAUUCCAGGUGUAGCGGUGAAAUGCGUAGAUAUCUGGAAGAACACCGGUGGCGAAGGCGGUCAACUGACCCGUAACUGACGCUCAGGCACGAAAGCGUGGGGAGCAAACAG
rnacentral:rRNA from 1 species